rnacentral:rRNA from 1 species
AACGAACGCUGGCGGCAGGCUUAACACAUGCAAGUCGAGCGCCCCGCAAGGGGAGCGGCAGACGGGUGAGUAACGCGUGGGAACGUACCCUUUACUACGGAAUAACGCAUGGAAACGUGUGCUAAUACCGUAUGUGCCCUUUUGGGGAAAGAUUUAUCGGUAAAGGAUCGGCCCGCGUUGGAUUAGCUAGUUGGUGGGGU